rnacentral:rRNA from 1 species
GAUGAACGCUGGCGGCGUGCCUAAUACAUGCAAGUCGAGCGAACAGACGAGGAGCUUGCUCCUCUGACGUUAGCGGCGGACGGGUGAGUAACACGUGGAUAACCUACCUAUAAGACUGGGAUAACUUCGGGAAACCGGAGCUAAUACCGGAUAAUAUAUUGAACCGCAUGGUUCAAUAGUGAAAGACGGUUUUGCCGUCACUUAUAGAUGGAUCCGCGCCGCAUUAGCUAGUUGGUAAGGGAACGGCCUACCAAGGCAACGAUGCGUAGCCGACCUGAGAGGAGGAUCGGCCACACUGGAACUGAGACACGGGCCAGACUCCUACGGGAGGCAGCAGUAGGGAAUCUUCCGCAAUGGGCGAAAGCCUGACGGAGCAACGCCGCGUGAGUGAUGAAGGUCUUCGGAUCGUAAAACUCUGUUAUUAGGGAAGAACAAAUGUGUAAGUAACUAUGCACGUCUUGACGGUACCUAAACAGAAAGCCACGGCUAACUACGUG